AAGCGUUGUCCGGAUUUAUUGGGCGUAAAGAGCUCGUAGGCGGUUCAGUCAGUCGGGUGUGAAAACUCUGGGCUUAACCCAGAGCCUGCACCCGAUACUGCUGUGACUAGAGUUCGGUAGGGGAGCGGGGAAUUCCUGGUGUAGCGGUGAAAUGCGCAGAUAUCAGGAGGAACACCGAUGGCGAAGGCACCGCUCUGGGCCGAAACUGACGCUGAGGAGCGAAAGCAUGGGUAGCAAACAGGAUUAGAUACCCUGGUAGUCCAUGCCGUAAACGUUGGGCACUAGGUGUGGGUUCCAAUCAACGGAAUCCGCGCCGUCGCUAACGCAUUAAGUGCCCCGCCUGGGGAGUACGGUCGCAAGACUAAAACUCAAAGGAAUUGACGGGGGCCCGCACAAGCAGCGGAGCGUGUUGCUUAA
rnacentral:rRNA from 1 species